rnacentral:rRNA from 1 species
AGAGUUUGAUCCUGGCUCAGGAUGAACGCUAGCGGCAGGCUUAACACAUGCAAGUCGAGGGGUAACAUUGUAGCUUGCUACAGAUGACGACCGGCGCACGGGUGCGUAACGCGUAUACAAUCUACCUUUUGCUGAGGGAUAGCCCAGAGAAAUUUGGAUUAAGACCUCAUGGUAUGUUUAAUGGCAUCAUUUAUACAUUAAAGGUUACGGCAAAAGAUGAGUAUGCGUUCUAUUAGCUAGAUGGUGUGGUAACGGCACACCAUGGCAACGAUAGAUAGGGGCCCUGAGAGGGGGAUCCCCCACACUGGUACUGAGACACGGACCAGACUCCUACGGGAGGCAGCAGUGAGGAAUAUUGGGCAAUGGAGGCAACUCUGACCCAGCCAUGCCGCGUGCAGGAAGACUGCCCUAUGGGUUGUAAACUGCUUUUAUACAGGAAGAAACACUCUCACGUGUGAGAGCUUGACGGUACUGUAAGAAUAAGGAUCGGCUAACUCCGUGCCAGCAGCCGCGGUAAUACGGAGGAUCCAAGCGUUAUCCGGAAUCAUUGGGUUUAAAGGGUCCGUAGGUGGAUAAUUAAGUCAGAGGUGAAAUCCUGCAGCUCAACUGUAGAAUUGCCUUUGAAACUGGUUAUCUUGAGUUAUUAUGAAGUAGUUAGAAUAUGUAGUGUAGCGGUGAAAUGCAUAGAUAUUACAUAGAAUACCAAUUGCAAGGCAGAUUACUAAUAAUACACUGACGCUGAGGUACGAAAGCGUGGGUAGCGAACGGGAUUAGAUACCCCGGUAGUCCACGCCCUAAACGAUGAGAACUAGCUGUUGGGACUUCGGUCUGAGUGGCUAAGCGAAAGUGAUAAGUUCUCCGCCUGGGGAGUACGGCCGCAAGGUUAAAACUCAAAUGAAUUGACGGGGGCCCGCACAAGCGGUGGAGCAUGUGGUUUAAUUCGAUCAACGCGAAGAACCUUACCAUCCCUUGACAUCCACAGAAGCCAGUAGAGAUACAGGUGUGCCUUCGGGAACUGUGUGACAGGUGCUGCAUGGCUGUCGUCAGCUCGUGUUGUGAAAUGUUGGGUUAAGUCCCGCAACGAGCGCAACCCCUAUCCUUAUUUGCCAGCGCGUUAUGGCGGGAACUCUAAGGAGACUGCCGGUGAUAAACCGGAGGAAGGUGGGGACGACGUCAAGUCAUCAUGGCCCUUACGGGAUGGGCUACACACGUGCUACAAUGGCAGGUAAAGAGGCUGCCAACCCGCGAGGGUGAGCGAAUCCCAAAAAGCCGGUCUAAGUUCGGAUUGUAGUCUGCAACUCGACUGCAUGAAGUCGGAAUCGCUAGUAAUCGUCUAUCAGCAACGAGACGGUGAAUACGUUCCCGGGCCUUGUACACACCGCCCGUCAAGCCAUGGAAGCCGGGAGUGCCCGAAGUCUGUGACCCAACCUAGUGAGGGAGCAGCCGAAGGUAAGUUCGGUGACUGGGGCUAAGUCGUAACAAGGUAAC